rnacentral:rRNA from 1 species
AUGGAACAAGUCCCAGACUUGAGAAAGAAAACUCUCUAUCAAAUAUUCAGCCAAUACAGAGAUACGGCCGCACUGUCAUUAAUCAACUACACCGCAGAUAUGCUGAAAUCUGAGGUCGAUAUGGAAGACAAUGAAAUGGAACGAAUACAUUGUGACAUAAUUCAACAGGAGAUUCCUCCAACUCCCGAGCACAUUGGGACGAGCGCUCAAGAGAUAAAAGUUAUUGACAUUAAUGACACAAGCAGCAAUGAGAAGAAAAAAUAUUAUCAUGUGAACGGCAAGGAUACCACCAAGGUGUCUGAAGAAGCACUCACGGAAGAUCAAGCCCAGGCAGAUGCUGGUUUAUAG